rnacentral:piRNA from 1 species
UGUGUAUAGAGUUGAUUGAGACAGAUGGA